CCUACGGGUGGCUGCAGUGGGGAAUUUUGGACAAUGGGGGCAACCCUGAUCCAGCCAUUCCGCGUGAGUGAAGAAGGCCUUCGGGUUGUAAAGCUCUUUCGCAAGGGAAGAAAACUUACUCAAUAACACUGGGUGAGGCUGACGGUACCUUGAUAAGCAGCACCGGCUAACUACGUGCCAGCAGCCGCGGUAAUACGUAGGGGACGAGCGUUGAUCGGAGUUACUGGGGGCAAAUUUGGAAGAGGCAGGUGAAAUCCCCGGGCUCAACCUGGGAACUGCGGUUGAAACUACAAGGCUAGAGUAUGGCAGAGGGGGGUAGAAUUCCACGUGUAGCAGUGAAAUGCGUAGAGAUGUGGAGGAAUACCAAUGGCGAAGGCAGCCCCCUGGGUCAAUACUGACGCUCAUGCACGAAAGCGUGGGGAGCAAACAGGAUUAGAUACCCCAGUAGUC
rnacentral:rRNA from 1 species